GGUGAGUAACACGUAGGUGAUCUACCUUUAUGUAGGGGAUAGCCUGUGGAAACACAGGGUAAUACCCGAUGUGACUGAUAUCUUGCGGGGUAUUGGUGAAAGGUGCUGAGGCACCGCAUAAGGAUGAGCCUGCGUCUGAUUAGUUAGUUGGUGGGGUAAAGGCCUACCAAGGCGACGAUCAGUAGCCGGCCUGAGAGGGUGACCGGCCACACUGGGACUGAGACACGGCCCAGACUCCUACGGGAGGCAGCAGCUAAGAGUCUUCCGCAAUGGGGGGAACCCUGACGGAGCGACGCCGCGUGAACGAAGAAGGCCGUGAGGUUGUAAAGUUCUUUUCUCGGAGAAGAAUAAUGUAGCGAGGGAAUGCGCUACAGAUGACAUUACCCGAGGAAUAAGCCCCGGCUAAUUACGUGCCAGCAGCCGCGGUAACACGUAAGGGGCGAGCGUUGUUUGGAUUUAUUGGGCGUAAAGGGCGUGUAGGCGGUUUUGUAAGCCUGGUGUGAAAGGCUCCGGCUUAACUGGAGUUUGCGCUGGGAACUGCAAGACUAGAGUUCAGGAGGGGAAGCUGGAAUUCCUGGUGUAGGGGUGAAAUCUGUAGAUAUCAGGAAGAACACCGGUGGCGAAGGCGAGCUUCUGGCCAUGAACUGACGCUGAGGCGCGAAAGCGUGGGGAGCGAACAGGAUUAGAUACCCUGGUAGUCCACGCUGUAAACGAUGUGCACUAGGUGUAGGGCUGUAUGAAGCUCUGUGCCGAAGCGAACGCGAUAAGUGCACCGCCUGGGGAGUAUGCUCGCAAGGGUGAAACUCAAAGGAAUUGACGGGGGCCCGCACAAGCGGUGGAGCAUGUGGUUUAAUUCGAUGAUACGCGAGGAACCUUACCAGGGUUUGACAUAUAGCGGACUGUGGCAGAGAUGUCACAUCCCUUCGGGGCCGUUAUACAGGUGCUGCAUGGCUGUCGUCAGCUCGUGCUGUGAAGUGUUGGGUUAAGUCCCGCAACGAGCGCAACUCCCUGCUGUCUGUUACCAGCAUUUAGAAUGGGGAGUCAGACGGUACUGCCGGUGUCAAACCGGAGGAAG
rnacentral:rRNA from 1 species